GCUGCCGCUGUCCGCAUCGCCCUCGGCGCCAUCGAUGCACCUGUUGGCCGCAUACAGCGUGCCGUGCCGUGUCGGGAUGCGACGGAGACGCGAGCGUGCCGUGGCUGCUCAAGUCCGGGGCCGCGAUCGGCGUGGGUUCCCUCGUUCCUGCAGCGGCUCCUCGCGGUGGGACGCGCCGGCUGCUCUGCUCUGCAGUGCCGCCAACGGUGACCGCGACGGACAAGGACGGUUUCCCGGUCGCCGGGUAGUCCCCGGGUUUUCCGGUUUAUUACGGUGCCCGUGACAAUGAUUGGCCG
rnacentral:lncRNA from 1 species